AAAAUGUACUGCCUGUGGAGAAAUUGAGCAGAAGUCAUGCUACUCUUUUGGAGCAGGAAUUAAUAUCUUAAACAUUAGCAGCUACUUGAGGCUCAUUAGGAAGCAGUCUUUUGAACUGUGGUCCUGUAUGGAUGGAGACAAUACACCAAAAGAGGAGAGCUUGACUAUGUGAUAAGGCAGGGUAGUAUCUCAGGGAGUAUCGGAAAGAAGGCAACUUGCUGCAUUAAUAGGGGCUCCAUGUCCCACUGUUCUGACUUCAAGUUUCAGGUUGAUCCACAUUUUGGAUUCUUCCAAUGUCUGCAAGACUUUACCAAGUAGCUUGAUCAAACAUUUUCAGACUGACGGGUCUCUUCAAUCUAUUUGUUCUGAUUACAGGCUUUUCUUUACAUCCAGAGUUUACUGUUGGUUCAGCUUGGAUGUCUGAAACUUCCAAAGCAGAACAAUCAGUGGUGGAUAAUGAGAGUAACAAAUAUCCCUGUUGCCAUGUGAGCAGGGGCAAAAGAGUAUUCACAUAAAACAUUCCUACAAAUAAAUCUCUAUUCUUUAAAUACAGAGAACUUUGAAACAGUUGAACACAGAACACACAUUUAUAGAACACUUCAAAUUAACUGGUAUUGUGGUUGUCCUAGUUUUAGGAGUUGAGUCUCUUGGGUUGGGCUAAGGAGUCUUAUAAUGGUGACUUUGAAUUGAUCUUAGUUGUCCUAUCCAGCCAUGUUUUUAAAUCUUAUCAUAUCUCUCAAGCAAAAUCAGGGGUGGUUUGCAGAGUAAUACUCUUUUGGGAAAUGGAUGAGAGGAAGCUCACACAUUCUGAGAGAAUCUGAGCUAAGAUGAUUAGUGUGAGACAAAAAGGAUGCUUGUGAGUUGUUUCUCUAAUUUUAUAUUCUUCUCCACAAAACUGGAGUGCGGACUAUACAGGUUUAGGUGCUUUUUAAUUAUUAGUUUCAGUUGUAUGUGACCAUGUCCCUAGCGGUAGCAUUUAUAAAUAUUCUUAUUUUUUCCUACACCUCUGCAAUUAUUUAAUCUAUGACAGCAUUGGCUUUACUCAAUUUAUGCCAGUGUAUUUCAGCUGAGAUUUUUGGUCUGUUCUUCUUGACGCUGCCUUUAAGAUGGCUGUAUUAAUUAAAUUGAAAAAUUAUAUAGUAUAUUAAAUUAUUUCAAAAACAUGAAAACUUGGGGCUUCCCUUCAUCUUUGUAAAUGCAGGCCCCAUCUGUUAGUCUAUACUGUCAAUGUGGGGGGAAAAAAUCGUCCCUUUGCAUAAUUAUACAUUAUGCCAAAUAAUAAACUCUACUUUGAAAAUGAUA